rnacentral:lncRNA from 1 species
AAGGCGAGAGCUGAUCUAGGAAGCUUAGUGAGCACAUUCAACCCUCGCGUUAAAGCUUGGCCAAACGCAUCGAUCGAUAUCUAAUCGAAUAAUCGGUCGACGGUUCAACAAGUGUAUCGAUCGAUACUCAUAUAGAAUCAUCGACAACACUUAUAUCUGGUCAAUAGACAAACCUAGAAAGCGAGAGCCUAUCAGUUUGUUUAUAAGUGUUGAGCUCUAUAGUAUCAUGGAUACAACUUGUUAGGCAUCUGUAGGAUUAUAAUUUUGACUACCUGAAUAAAAACCCUAAGUCUAGCUAUUUUCAUCUAAGUACCAAAACCCCC